UACGAAGGGGGCUAGCGUUGCUCGGAAUCACUGGGCGUAAAGGGUGCGUAGGCGGGUCUUUAAGUCCGGGGUGAAAUCCUGGAGCUCAACUCCAGAACUGCCUUUGAUACUGAGGAUCUUGAGUUCGGGAGAGGUGAGUGGAACUGCGAGUGUAGAGGUGAAAUUCGUGGAUAUUCGCAAGAACACCAGUGGCGAAGGCGGCUCACUGGCCCGAUACUGACGCUGAGGCACGAAAGCGUGGGGAGCAAACAGG
rnacentral:rRNA from 1 species